CUCAAGCACAUGUCCUACUUCUUGAACUGGACAUUCAAAUUAUUGGGCCUUGAAAAGCAUUUGCCUUAUGAGUGAGCUGCAGCUCAUCCCAGAAUACUGCUGGGAUUAAUUUUCAUUGUGUUAUCAAAUGCUUCAUUAUGGCAUUUGAAGGUGUUUCUAGUCACAUUCUCCAAAAUGACUUCUGAGUGGUGGCUUCUGAAGUAGAUGCGUAAGUCAGCUGUCAGUAAUGGCUUUCUUUUUCUUUUCUUUUUCAGUAUCAGAGUAUUUAAUCUCACAAUGGAGCUGGUUAUACUUGCACAGUAGCUGUAAUUCAAAUGCAUUAAGAAGCAUUUAUUCUGUGUAUAAGCAAUUAUGUUGGGAUGGAAGGGAAGCUAAUAGAUUCUAGUGAGCAUGUGAAGCUAGCUUUGGAAAGAAUGGGGCUCCUGUAAUAGGGUAUGUUGAAUUUUUGGCAUUCCCUGAAAUUUUUCAGAAGGUAAAAUUAAAAUUCUUUGGUUUUCUGAAAGCAGAUAAGUGCCUCUUCAUCAAAUGUGGGCUUACCAAGCUAAAUGUUAUCCAGUCAUGAAAAAUAAUAGCAGAUUUGAAUUCCUCAUACCCAAAAACCUAUUUUUAAGACCCCUUACUAAAGAAAUUUGCAAAAAAGAAAAGAAAAAAGGUUUUGUCACCUAAAAUGACCCAUCUACUCAUGUAGGUUUAAUAACUGUGUAGAAGAGUGUCCUCUUCUACAAUAGGUAUAACAUAACAACCUGCUGAAAUCCUCUCAAAUAGGCAAAGCUACUGAAGGUGCAAAUGUAGGAGAUCUGUUCACUUCUGCAUCUGGGGAUCUCAUAUGAAGCUGCCUUGGUGUCACAAUCUUCCCUAACCAGGACCCUGAGGAGACUUCCUUUCUCUUUGAAGAAAAGAUGAGGGCCUGUUGCCCAGAAAACUGUGAACAACAAAGAACCUGCUGUAGCCUUAAAACAGUCCAAAGUACUUAGACUUACGCUUAUCUUGCCUGUGGUCAUCCCUCCACCUAAAUCCCAAAUCACUUGCUGAUUCUCCCAUCUAAUCACCUUUCUCUCAAGAAUGGAGGCCACACUGGAGCCUAUGGAAGGCCCAGAACUGGCAUAAGAGAAUUUAUUUCUUUUUCAGGAUGUUUUAUGGGUGGGCAGGAGUCUCCUCGGGAGGAAGGGUCUCCUCAGGAGGAGCGAGAAGCCCAGAGACAAUCCAUCUGUGAACAAUGACCUAGGGGAUUAUUAUUUAUUUAUUAAAUUUGUAUACCACUCUUCAUCAGUACCAGAUCUUAGGGUAGUUCACAACGUAAGAUUGUGGUUCGAGGACCCGACCCCCGCGAUGUGAAAUAAAUACACAAGGACACGUGAUAUAAGGUUAAUGGGCAAGAAAAGGCCACAACUUUAUUGAUUACAGCAGUGAAAAGGUAUUGGCUUAGGCAUUGGAUGUCUAAAACAAGGGGGUUUAUUCACCAGUAGGUGGAGCCUGUUGAUGCUAAUCCAACUAUAGGCUCUCCCCUGAUGUCACCGGGGGUCGUGCCAUGGCCUCCCGCCAAGCAGGCAUCGGACAGAGUACACGACCGCCAGAUUCCUUUAACGGAAUACCCAAAAAUUGAAGGCAUAGGCGAUGGCCACACCCAGCCCUUCGACACACCACAACACAUUAUUCCAAUGCCUAACCGCCACCCGAGCCAAUAAGGCUCGCCGCCAAUACCCUCACGGCUGUAACCAAUCCCUAAUGCUGCUGCUGACACUAUCUAGCCAAAUGUCGUUCCCCUGGUCAGAGGGAAGCACCCCGUCAUUCCGGUAUAAGGCCCGGUCGCCGAUCCAGAUUUGGUCAUGAUAAAUGACUCGGCCAUUCAUGAAGCGCACCCAAUGGGCCACUGCCCGAUUUACGAGUUUCCUGGUUUUUCAAUGGCCAUACAGCUCAGCGCACCGCGCCAAAAAAUUCUCUUCAGGAAGGAGGACCAGAACACCAUUGUUCUGGGGCACAAGGCAGCAAACGCAACCAAGUCUCUUUUUGUAUUCCACAACAAGUCCGCACUCCUUCUGUAAGCAAGGUCAUUUUCCCCUAAUUGAAUGACAAGGAUGCCGGGAGGGCCGAAUGUGGCGACUUUUUCCCACAGCAAUGGCAUAAGCUCUUCCCAGCGCAUGCGUCUUCUCGAGAACCAGGAAACUCGAACACCAUGUGGCAGACCAAGAUUAGGUGCAAGGCCGCAGCUGACCGCCCGUACGCGGGCCCAAUGGACUAUACUGUGGCCGCAAAUCCACACGCUUCUCCUGAUCACAGCUGAGGAUGAAGGACAGAAAAGGAGGUAAGUAGGGGUAAUAUAGCAGAACGCAUUCUAGCGAAUAUAACUUUUAUAAGCAUUGGAUUUCCACCGGCCCAUUUCUUUAAUCCUAUCCGCUGGCAGACCCAAGAGCACCGCUGUUGUGGUGGCGCCAAUCCUGAAUGAGUGUGCAGCAUAAUCCUGGGAAGAUAAACCACAGGCAUCAAUAGCUUUGCGGAGUACCCUUGUGAAUUGGUGUCUCAACAAAGGUGACCCAUCCUUGUGAACCAGGAGCAGGCCAGAACGGAGAAGAAUGAGGCCGAGGAGAGGCUGGCACCGCCGCAAAAGGCUGCUGAACACGCCCCCUCGAAGGCACCUGGUUGGAUGCCUGCCAAGGGGGCGUGGGCGCCAGCCAGGUGAGAGGAGGAGGCAGGGGGCUAAUGCCCCCUGCUAGGGGCGGUGCUCGGGCUCCCGCCCACAACCACUCCCCUCUCUUCCAGGGAGGAGAGUCUAUACAAGAUGAAAAAUACAAAAUACAUAAUAAAAACAAGAACAACAAAAACAAAUAACGCUUCCCCUCAAGCCUGGGGAUUCAGAUCAACUGAGAUUCAAGGGCUUCACAGGUCAUGAGAGGGUCCCCCCCCCCAGUUGUGGGCCUCCAAAUGUGGACCUCCCUCCCCAGAGUAAAUGUUCUCUCAUCAGUUGCUGAAGAUGGAUGUCUUUACCCAGGCCUUUGAGAGCUACAAAACUGAUUUUGAUAUCCUUGAAAUGCAUUGCCUGGAGUGAUUUUUAUGGGUGGGAUUGCUGUUUAGUGCUGCUUUAGUUGCUUAGUGUUUUAUAUACUGUAAUCCACCCUGGGACAUUCUAAUGAAGGGUGGGUAAGAAAUAUAAUAGGAAGUAAAAACAUUGCAUGCUACAGAUUUUGUAAACAUUUUAUUAUUGAUUCUCUAUAGUUUUAUAAUGCAUUGUGACCUGCCCUGAGAUCAUUCUGACAAUGAAGGGCAAUGUAUAAAUUCUGAAAUAAAUUGAAUAAACAAAUACAAAGGGAUCCAUGCAUCCUUAAAGAGUUAUUCUUCAUCAACUCCAUUUCAGUGUCCUGUUCAACAAAGCUGUAACAAUUUGGUCCUCAAUAAACUGCCAUCUUCUACGGCAAGAGAUUUAUGGACAUAUGUAUAUAUUUUUUGGCAAAAUGAAUAUAUAAAUAUUCAUUUAAUUAAAAUGAAUGAGGUAAAACUGAUUCACAAAACAGUUCCUUGUAAUGAAAUUUCAGGCUGUGUAGUGCAGUUUGAUUGAUGACUUACGGCCAGAAAAGUAGUAAUUUAAUCCACCUUUCUUUUCAUUAAUUCAUUAUAUCCAUGAGAUUCAUUAGUGGGCCCAUUAAAUGAAGUACCAAAAAAGAAAGAAAGGAAAAACAAGCAUCAGCUGAAGUAUUUUUAACCUGUUCUUCUUAGGAAAACGGCAAAUAAGGAAUGUUUAUUGCUCAGUACUGAAAUAGUAGGUCAAGGGAUCAGUCACCUGCAGAUAUUCAAAAGAACAUAUGAGGGCUCAAACUAGAUAGGGUGCAUGGAAGCACAUGUGCAAGCCCCACCCUCAGUGUCCCCCUGUAUACCAGCCCUGCCCUUCCUUCCCCUGUCCUUUGCAUUUUGAGUGUGAAAGAAAAUUACAGUUGUACCUUGGAAGUCGAACGAAAUCCAUUCCAGAAGUCCGUUCAUCUUCCAAAUCAUUCAAAAACCAAAUUGCAGCUUCUGAUUGGCUGCAGGAAGCUCUUGCAGCCAAUCAGAAGCUGUGGAAGCCCCAUCGGAUGUUCGGGUCCCAAAAGAAAGAACGUUUGCAAACCGGAACAAUCACUUCCAAGUAGGCAGCAUUCGUGAGCCAAAACGUCUGAGUUCCAGGGUGUUCAGGAUCCAACUGUAUUACCAUGUUCAAAUUAAUCUUCCAUCAGAUCUCCAUGCUCACAGGUCAAGGCAGGGGGGGGGGGACAGAGCCAAUGUAGGUUUUCUCACAUCCCUUACAUACUUGCAUGGCCUUCUGAACGUUUAAAGAACGUUCUUAUUGGUACAACAUUGUGGAAACCAUAGAACAGAUUUUUACAAUUUGGGGCACCCAAUUUACCAAAUAUGCUCAAGUGUCUGUGGUCAAAUAUUAAACACUGAAAUGAAAUACCAUUGGGUGCCUAAUAUAGAUAUUCACUCCACACUGACAUCAUGCAUUUAAAGCACUAUUAUACCACUGAAACAGUCAUGGCUUCCCCCAAAGAAUUGUGGAAACUGUAGCUUGUUAAGGGUGCUGAGUGUAAUUAGGAGCCCCACAAUUCCACUCACAUUUUCGGGAGUGGUUUAACUAUCCAUUCCUCUUGCCAGUAAACUCUUGAAAUUGAUGGCGUGAACUCAUGGUGGUUUUGUGUUACUAUUAGUAUUACAGUGGUACCUCAGGUUAAGUAUUUAAUUUGUUCCGGAGGUCCGUUCUUAACCUGAAACUGUUCUUAAGCUGAACCACCACUUUAGCUAAUGGGGCCUCCUGCUGCUGCCGCACCGCCGGAGCAUGAUUUCUGUUCUCAACCUGAAGCAAAGUUCUUAACCAGAGAUAAUAUUUCUGAGUUAGUGGAGUCUGUAACCUGAAGCGUAUGUAACCUGAAGCAUAUGUAACCCGAGGUAUCACUGUAUUCAUCUCUUGGAUUAGGACCCACCACACUUUUGUUUUGGCACAGAGAUGUGCCAGAUUGAACAAACCCUGAAUGGAAGGACACACCGUCUUUAGUUGAGGUGAAGGCAUAUGAAAGCAACGGGGGGGGGGGGGGGUAUAACAAAGAGAGUUGGGGCAAGAAUACAGCCCUGUUUCACACCACUCUUUACAGGAAAGGCGUUUGAUUAGCCAUCAUACUGGAUGGUGCCACACAGGUUCUCGCAGAUGGACACAAUAAUUUUGCGAAGCUUAGGUGGGCAUCCUAUCUUGUUGAGCAGUGUGAAUAAUCCUUUUUUGGCUUAGAAGUUCAAAGACCUUUGUCAGGUCUAUGAAGGCAAUGUACAGAGGGCCUCUUUGCUCAGCAUUUCUCCUGAAGCUGGUGCACUGAGAAACUCAUGUUGACUGUUGACCUCUGAUCGCUAAAGCUGCAUUAUGACUCAGGACAGUCCCUGUCAAUGGUAAUCUGUCGGGAACUAUAUGGGUUUGUUUUUCUAGAGGGUCACAAUGCUGGAGUCACACAAAUGUUGUGGCAUGGAUCCUUGUUCCCAACAAUGCAAGAGGAGGCCAUGGAGGCCUUAACGCUUUCCACAUGUGCUGUGUCAGUAGGAUUUCAACAUCGCAUGGCAGGACAGAGUCUAAAACAAAGAUGUGUUCUCCCAUGCCCACAUUUUCAGCAUGUUCACACUCCUAUCUCAGCAACGUCUAUGCUGGCUUGGUCAUGUGCACAGAAUGGAAGAUGGCAAGAUCCCCAAGGACAUGAUAUACGGGAGCGGGCUUCAGGCACCAGUCUCAUUGGCAGACCAACUCUGUGUUACAAAGAGGUCUGCAAAUGAAAGCUGGCAAUAUCAUCCCCACCGUGCGGAAAUCCCUUUCAGAAGACCGCAGUGCCUGGAGACAGGUAGUCAUGUCAUGCAUCCACAGCAGUGUCCAGAAGAACAAUGUGCUGGGAGGGAGCACAGAGAGAAGAAAUGUCAUUGUGCAUCUACAGCAGCACAUCUGGGUGCCUUCAUCUGCCCCAGCUGCAACAAAACAUGUCUCUCCCAUAUCAGUCUCUACAGCCACAGCAGGUACUAUAACCUUCCAACAGAAUGAGUUUGGCUUCAACCCCAAAGGUGAACUCCUGCAUUGUCUCCUGAGACAGACAGGUGGCAACAAGUAUUAUUAUUUGUUUUCUGUUUUUCAAAUUUCAUUUGAUUUUACUGACUUUAUUUUUAUUCUCCCCACCUUCAUUUUCUCUGUUAACUUUGCAAGCUGUGAUGAAAAUAGCAACAGCAACAAUUGUUUAAAAAAAAUAUCUGGAGGUACUAGGGGGUGUAAUCUAGGGUGUGUACAAUGCAAAAAUGUAAUGAAGAGUUUGUUUUAGAACAAUUUUACUUUAGUUCUGGUCAUAAAUUGUGCAGUGUGUGAAAUAGCAAAACUGGUUUGAUGUUCCAGGGGGUGGGGGUCUGUGUCUGCCUGUGGUAGUGGCUUGUUUCUCUCAAAUAUCCUUUGCGUUAUUUUAUCAACUUCCAAUCACAGUUGGGUGAGAUUGCAACUCUUGUGUCUCUGCAUGGCAGGUCAGACGAAUGGUUCCCUCUGAAGCCCCUGACAAUGAGACAAACAGGAAUACAUUGCAGUUGGAACGGCAAGGCCCCAGGAGCCAGAGUGUCAUUGCUGUGACGGCCUCCAAUGGCUGGAGACUUGGGAACUCUGGCUCUUUCUUGAACUGGGGUCACUUGACUGGCAUGUCUGCCAGUCUCCUGGGUGGCCCUGAGCUGGCUUUCUGCAGCAGGAUGAAAGUGUCAGCAGAAUUUUUUAAAAGCACCCUGAAUCACAUUUCGAGGAAAAGAGGGCAGAACAUAUCUUGCUUGAAUUUGCUUUCUGUUUAAUAUUUCUGCAGUGAUGACUUGGGGAGGAUCUUUGUUUCCAGCAGGUAGG